ACAUGAAAACUCCACGCAGGAAGGGCAGAAUCAAACACGGAACCUCUGCACUCUGAGGCCAACGUGCAAACCAGUCGACCACUGUGCUGCCCGGACACUUUGUAUGCACUGUGCAACAGCAUGUACAGAUCCUUCCCAUCUGCCUGUCUUUGUCUGCGGUCUUUAGAACCCCCGGCCUCCAGUCAGCCACCCAUAGAGGGAAGAUCAGCAGGUCAGCAGGUAAUUGAAGAGCAGCGACGUCGUCUGGCUGAGCUCAAGCAGAGAGCAGCAGAAUAGGAUCAGUGCCAGUGGGAGGCACUCCAUAGCUUGCAGCCUCACCUCAUCACCUCCGCGCCCCCCUUCCCCAGCAGUGACCUACAGUCCUACAUUGAGUCACGGAUCUGCAGGCGCCCCUCCUCUGGUCUAGCAUUCCAUCCUACACCACCAUCCAGCGUCGGCCGGAGAGCAGCCCGACAUCAGACUGAGCCUGGAGAGCCCAGACAGUAUGGACACCGGUGUGUCCACAGGCAACAACUCUGCCUGCUCGCCAGAUAAUUUGUCCAGUGUUGGAGGAACGGACGCGCUGAAGAUGGAAGAGAUGGAGAAAAUGCUGAAGGAGGCACAGAUCGAGAAAGCCAGACUUAUUGAGUUUAGGGUACGUGUCAUUACAACAGCGGCGGACAUCAGAUUUGCCUGAUUGAUGACGUUUUGGUGUGACGGGAUCAAUGAGGAGGAACGAUUGAAUACUGUAAUGAAGUCCUUUCAUUCUUUUUUACCAGUUCAUUGUCUGCCAGAUGUCACAGUGUUAAAAUAGUUGUCUGAAUGAAAAGCUUGUAUGGGGAUAGAAUGUUCUGAUGAGCGCAAGGACAGCAGAGUAAAAACAUCAAAAAGAUCCAUAUUGCGUCACAUGUACUCUAGUCAAAAUUAUUGAAAGAAAAAUCUCUCUUUCAGGAACAGGAGAGCUU